CAGAUUUACGUCUUAAACGCAGAUUUACGUCUAAACUUUGAAACUCGUUUGUAUACUCGCAGAAGGCAGUAUGCAGUUGAAAUCAAGAUGUAAACGUGAACUGAGAUCUGAUGAUUGUGCGAGGAAAGCCGAUUUACGUCUAAAUGCAGUUUUACGUCUAAAUGCAGUUUUACGUCUAAAUGUUGAAACUCGUUCGUAAAAUUGCAGAGGACAGUUUGCAGUUAUCAAUAGAAUCAAAAUGUAAGUGUAAACUGCAAAGAAACUCAUUCGAAAAAGCACGGAAGACGGUUCUGCAGAAUCAAACGUAAACGUAAACUGUAAUGUACGAAAACACGAAUUUACGUCUGAAUGCAGAUUCGGAAGAACAGCACUUAGAACUUGUUCGUGAAAGCACAGAGAGCAGUAGUAAUGAAGGAGGUUUGCAGUAAUGAUAAAGUGCUAAAAAAUAAACGCAAACCAGAGAUUUAGAGUGGUUCGGUCAGCCUUGACCUACUCCACUUUUGGCUUCCUCCACCGACGAGGUUGCCGACGUC
rnacentral:lncRNA from 1 species